UGGGGAAUAUUGCACAAUGGGCGCAAGCCUGAUGCAGCCAUGCCGCGUGUGUGAAGAAGGCCUUCGGGUUGUAAAGCACUUUCAGCGAGGAGGAAGGGUAGUGUGUUAAUAGCACAUUGCAUUGACGUUACUCGCAGAAGAAGCACCGGCUAACUCCGUGCCAGCAGCCGCGGUAAUACGGAGGGUGCAAGCGUUAAUCGGAAUUACUGGGCGUAAAGCGCACGCAGGCGGUUUGUUAAGUCAGAUGUGAAAUCCCCGCGCUUAACGUGGGAACUGCAUUUGAAACUGGCAAGCUAGAGUCUUGUAGAGGGGGGUAGAAUUCCCAGGUGUAGCGGUGAAAUGCGUAGAGAUCUGGAGGAAUACCGGUGGCGAAGGCGGCCCCCCUGGACAAAGACUGACGCUCAGGUGCGAAAGCGUGG
rnacentral:rRNA from 1 species